rnacentral:rRNA from 1 species
CGGAUCAGCAUGCCGCGGUGAAUACGUUCCCGGGCCUUGUACACACCGCCCGUCACACCAUGGGAGCCGGUAAUGCCCGAAGUCAGUAGUCCAACCUCGUGAGGACGCUGCCGAAGGUAGGAUUGGCGACUGGGGUGAAGUCGUAACAAGGUAUC